rnacentral:rRNA from 1 species
AGGACGAACGCUGGCGGCGUGCUUAACACAUGCAAGUCGAGUGGAAAGGCCCUUCGGGGUACUCGAGCGGCGAACGGGUGAGUAACACGUGAGCAAUCUGCCCUUAGCUUCGGGAUAGCUCCGGGAAACCGGAAUUAAUACCGAAUACGACCCCGGCCGACAUCGGCUGUGGUGGAAAGUUUUUCGGCUAGGGAUGAGCUCGCGGCCUAUCAGCUUGUUGGUGGGUAACGGCCUACCAAGGCGACGACGGGUAG